rnacentral:rRNA from 1 species
AGCAGCCGCGGUAAUUCCAGCUCCAAUAGCGUAUAUUAAAGUUGUUGCAGUUAAAAAGCUCGUAGUUGAAUUUCGGGAUCAAUUAAUUGGUCGUGCCUCUGGUACGUACUGAUUUUAUUGGUUUCUCCCUUCUGACGAACCUUGAUGUCAUUAAUUUGGUGUCUUGGGGAAUUAGGACUGUUACUUUGAAAAAAUUAGAGUGUUUAAAGCAGGCUCACGCUUGAAUACAUUAGCAUGGAAUAAUGAAAUAGGACGUUUGAUUCUAUUUUGUUGGUUUCUAGGAUUGACGUAAUGAUUAAUAGGGAUAGUUGGGGGCAUUAGUAUUCAAUUGUCAGAGGUGAAAUUCUUGGAUUUAUUGAAGACUAACUACUGCGAAAGCAUUUGCCAAGGAUGUUUUCA